AUUAUGCCCCCUUUUGAAAAAAAGGGGGUAUAUUGCUUUGCACUUGUCGGUCCGUCGGUCCGUCGGUCCGUCCGUAGACCAAAUGGUUUCCGAGUGAUAACUAAAGAACCCUUAGGCCUAGGAACUUCAAACUUGGUAUGGUGAUUGGUCAUGACAAGUAGAUGACCCCUAUUGAUUUUGGGGUCAAGGGGUCAAAGGUCAAGGUCACAUUGACCUUGUAAGCAAAAACGGUUUCCGAUCAAUAACGAAAGAACCUUAAGGCCUAGGAACUUCAAACUUGGUAUGGUGAUUUGUCAUGAUCAGUAGAUGACCCCUAUUGAUUUUGGGGUCAAGGGGUCAAAGGUCAAGGUCACAUUGACCUUGUAAGCAAAAACGGUUUCCGAUCAAUAACUAAAGAACCUUAAGGCCUAGGAACUUCAAACUUGGUAUGGUGAUUUGUCAUGAUCAGUAGAUGACCCCUAUUGAUUUUGGGGUCAAGGGGUCAAAGGUCAAGGUCACAUUGACCUUGUAAGCAAAAACGGUUUCCGAUCAAUAACUAAAGAACCCUAAGGCCUAGGAACUUCAAACUUGGUAUGGUGAUUGGUCAUGAUCAGUAGAUGACCCCUAACGAUUUUGGGGUCAAGGGGUCAAAGGUCAAGGUCACAUUGACCUCUUAGGUAAAAACAGUUUCGGAUCAAUAACUAAAGAACCCUUAGGCCUAGGAACUUCGAACUUGGUAUGGUGAUUGGUCAUGAUCAGUAGAUGACCCCUAUUGAUUUUGGGGUCAAGGGGUCAAAGGUCAAGGUCACAUUGACCUCUUAGGUAAAAGCAGUUUCCGAUCAAUAACUAAAGAACCCUUAGGCCUAGGAACUUCAAACUUGGUAUGGUGAUUGGUCAUGACCAGCAGAUGACCCCUACUGAUUUUGGGGUUAAGGGGUCAAAGGGAAAGGUCACAUUGACCUUGUAGGUAAAAAUGCUUUCCGAUCAAUAACUUAAGAACCCUUAGGCCUAGGAACUUCAAACUUGGUAUGGUGAUUGGUCAUGACCAGCAGAUGACCCCUACUGAUUUUGGGAUCAAGGGGUCAAAGGUCAAGGUCCCAUUGACCUUGUAAGUAAAAACGGUUUCUGAUCAAUAACUAAAGAACACUUGGGCCUAGGAACUUCAAACUUGGCAUAGUGAUUGGUCAUGAUCAGCAGAUGACCCCUAUUGAUUUUGGGGUCAAAGGUCAAGGUCACAUUGACCUUGUAUGUUAAAACGGUUUCGGAUCAAUAAUAAAAGAACCCUUAGGCCUAGGAACUUCAAACUUGGCAUGGUGAUUAGUCAUGACCAGCAAAUGACCCCUAUUGAUUUUGGGGUCAAGGGGUCAAAGGUCAAGGUCACAUUGACCUUGUAAGUAAAAACGGUUUCUGAUCAAU